UACGAAGGGUGCAAGCGUUACUCGGAAUUACUGGGCGUAAAGCGUGCGUAGGUGGUUUGUUAAGUCUGAUGUGAAAGCCCUGGGCUCAACCUGGGAAUUGCAUUGGAUACUGGCAGGCUAGAGUGCGGUAGAGGAUGGCGGAAUUCCCGGUGUAGUGGUGAAAUGCGUAGAUAUCGGGAGGAACACCAGUGGCGAAGGCGACUACCUGGCCUGUUCUUGACGCUGAGGCGCGAAAGCUAGGGGAGCAAACGGGG
rnacentral:rRNA from 1 species